AGGCGGAGGCCCCGGGUGCGUCCCGGCACCGUGGGCUCCGUGACCUCGCUCCUUCGCCCGCCCCACCGCGGAUCCAGCCCAUCCGAGCCGAGCCGAGCCGGGCUCCUCGUCCCAAAGUGGCUGCGGAGGCGCAGCCGAGGCUCCUCCGCGGCCUCAGCCCUCCAGACGGGACGGAAUCGCCCCUCCGGUGUCCUGGGGCAGCCGGCAGGAGACGCGGGACACCCGGACGCUCGACCUUAGCAACCCGGGAACCUGCUCCCCAACACAAAGCCGCGGCCGCGCAGAGCCCACCGACCAGCCUGGCCCCAAACUGAUCUCUUCUGGGCUGCAGGAUACCCACAGAACCGCUCCUCAUGCAAGAGACAGGCAAUAUGGGACACAAAGGAAGAAGAGGAAGAACCACCAGAAGGAAGCAUUCAGCAAAGUCCAAAUACAGGACAUUCUGUGGGUCAGCUGACCCAACAACUUCUCCAAACUUCAGUGCAUGAAGAAAAGAAGGCAGACCAUUACAGAUGACAAGAGACAUAACCAAAUGCCAUGUGGGAUCCUGGACUGGAUCCUGGGACCGAAAAAGGACGCUGGUGGAAAAACGGAUGAAAUCGCAAUAAACUGAAGUUUAAUUAAUCGUCACAUUAUCGAUGUUAAUUCCUUACUUUUGAAAUGUGCCAUGGUUGUGUAACAUGUUGACAUUGAAGAAAACUGGACUAAAGUAUAGGGAGGGGAAAUCUGCGCUGGCUUUGUAACUUUUCUUUGAAUCUGAAUUUGCUCCAAAGUUAAAAGGUUGGUUUUUAGGUUUUAGGGUGGUUUUUCUUUUUUUUGUCUUGUUACUUUUUUUUUUUUUAAGUAGGCUCCAUGCCCAAGGCAGAGCCCCACAUGGGGUUUGAACCCAUGACUCUGAGAUCACAAGUGGGAUGCUUUACCACUGAGCCACCCAGGUACCUCUUUGUUUCAUUCUUAAAGAGAGACUUAAAAAUUCUAACAGCCAAAUACAAUGGGUGGCCCUCGUUUGGAUUUUGAUUUGAACAAAUCCGUUGUAAAAACAUUUUUAAGCCAGUUGGGGAAAAUUUGAAUAUGGACUGGAUAUUGGCUAAUACUAAGGAACCGUUGUUCAUUUUAUUAGGUAUGAUAAUGGCAUGGUGGUUAUGGUUUUCUUUAAAUCUCCGAUCUGUUCAACAUAUGUGCG